UUCCAAAAGCAUUACGCAAGA
rnacentral:piRNA from 1 species